rnacentral:rRNA from 1 species
GAGUUUGAUCGUGGCUCAGAACGAACGCUGGCGGCAGGCUUAACACAUGCAAGUCGAACGAGCUGGGGCCUUCGGGUCCCGAUGCUAGUGGCGCACGGGUGAGUAACGCGUGGGAACGUACCCUUUAGUACGGAAUAACCAAGGGAAACUUUGGCUAAUACCGUAUACGCCCUUCGGGGAAAGAUUAUCGCUAAAGGAUCGGCCCGCGUCUGAUUAGGUAGUUGGUGAGGUAAUAGGCUCACCAAGCCUACGAUCAGUAGCUGGUCUGAGAGGAUGAUCAGCCACACUGGGACUGAGACACGGCCCAGACUCCUACGGGAGGCAGCAGUGGGGAAUAUUGGACAAUGGGGGAAACCCUGAUCCAGCCAUGCCGCGUGAGUGAAGAAGGCCUU